CCUCUCCCUCAGUUGGUAGAGCAUGGUGUUUGCAACGCCAGGGUUGUGGGUUCGAUUCCCACGGGG
rnacentral:tRNA from 1 species